rnacentral:piRNA from 1 species
UAGAAAAAGCAGUUAGCAUGUGU